UACGAAGGGGGCUAGCGUUGCUCGGAAUCACUGGGCGUAAAGGGUGCGUAGGCGGGUCUUUAAGUCAGGGGUGAAAUCCUGGAGCUCAACUCCAGGACUGCCUUUGAUACUGGGAGUCUCGAGUCCGGGAGAGGUGAGUGGAACUGCGAGUGUAGAGGUGAAAUUCGUAGAUAUUCGCAAGAACACCAGUGGCGAAGGCGGCUCACUGGCCCGGUACUGACGCUGAGGUGCGAAAGCGUGGGGAGCAAACAGG
rnacentral:rRNA from 1 species